rnacentral:siRNA from 1 species
CGACUUUGUUUGCUCCAUAGGCG